UGGGUGGGUGACUCUGCUUCAGGGCCUGGGCCCAGACAGACGCCAGAGCCUUCCCCCAGGGCAGGGGCACACGGCCCCUCGGCGAGGGAGCCGGGACAUUAGGCAGCUCCAUGUAGGUACACGCUUAGGUCAGGAGGAUCCACCAUGAAGAAGGGCAAGAGGAAGAAGUCAGAAACCAGGCGCCGGGGCUCCACCUCCCAGCGCACCAGCUCCGAAUCCACCCCCCAGCAGCAGAGCUCAGACUCCAGUUCCCAGCAGCCCGUCUCCGGAUCCAGCCCGCGGCCACCCAGCCCCAAGCCCACCGCGCAGCUGCCCAACCCGGGGUCGGCCACCCAGAUGCCCAACCCAGCGCCCGCCCCACAGCCCCCCAGCCCGGGGCUCACCACGCAGCAGCCCAGCUCGGGGAGCACCUCACAGCCCAGCGGCAACUCUACCCCCCCGCAGUCUGCACCCCGAGCCCUCCCAGCUCCAGAAGUCAGCCACAGCCACUCGGCUCGGGACAUCGUGUCUCCAGACCCCAACCCCAAAGCAUCCUCUCAGUCCAGGAAAGCAGCAGGGCCUCUGGUUCGAGUGGGCCCGCGGGCAUUUUGUUCCUGUUCCGUUUGCCCUGGCAGCUCUGCUUGCUGGCGUCGUCUGGGCCUCUGCCACAGCCGCAUCUUCGAUGUCCUUCUGCCUCGGGCCUGGCCGACCAUGCCAGGGAGAGGAUUCCCAAACCUCCUCACCUUUUACAGAAGACCUUCAAGAAAACAAUCCACUCAUCGUAAUUCACGUGCUCCGAGCCCUCGGAACUGUUGCUGUGGCUCUGGGAGCCCUAGGAGCUGCCUACUACAUCCUUGAAUCUUUGUGAACAAGUCCCCAGGCCCGCAGUCCGGCAGAAACCGGAACAUUCAUCUUUAACUUACCCAUGUUAUUGAUCUCAAGCCUGCCUACCACCACCUGCAUGCUACCUCCUACUUGUGAACUGUCUGUCCCUCAGUCACAUCAUUUUUCCAGUCACAGAAGCUAUUCAUUCAUGCAUUCAUCUGUCAGGACAUGAACAGAGGGAAGGAAGAAAUAUUCUUGGCAGCUUACCUCUUUUUUUAAAGUCUUCGUAAUUUCCUGUUAAUUUAAGACUGAACCUUUGCCAGAUCUAGCCUCCGUCUCACGACUGGAAAGUUUGGAAUUGUUACCUGGAAAUUUUGAGCCAGAGAAUAAAUAGCUGAUGAAUCAGAGCAUAUUGAUUUUAUACUAGUGAGAGUAUAAAAACACCAGCACAUUUGAGAGUUCCUCUCCAGUCAGCUGAUAAGUUUUCCUCUCUUUCUCAAAAAGAGGUAAUGGCUGGAGCUUUCGCUGCUAGUUUGAAUCAUGAGGACAAGAUGGAGGAAUAGUGAUCCAGAAUGAAACCUGUGUCUUCAAAGACCCAGUAAAACAGAGCUACAACGUCAGCCAUGAACUAUCCAUCUUUAAACUUCUACAACAGAGAAAAAUAAAUGUUCAUUGUGUUUAUGCCAC